GACGAACGCUGGCGGCGUGCUUAACACAUGCAAGUCGAACGGAAAGGCCUCUUUCGGGGGGUACUCGAGUGGCGAACGGGUGAGUAACACGUGAGUAACCUGCCCUUGACUUUGGGAUAACUUCAGGAGACUGGGGCUAAUACCGGAUAGGAGCUCCUUCUGCAUGGUGGGGGUUGGAAAGUUUCGGCGGUUGGGGCUGGACUCGCGGCUUAUCAGCUUGGUGGUGGGGUGUUGGCUUACCAAGGCCUUGACGGGUAGCCGGACUGAGAGGGUGAGCGGCCACCUUGAGACUGACAUGAGGCCCAGGUUCCGAAGCGGGCGCGAAGUGGGGAAUCUUGACGGAUGGGUGGCGGCCUAAUGCAGCAACGCCGUGGGCGGGAUGACGGUCUUAGGGUUGUAGACCGCUUUCGCUCAUGACGAAGCUUUGUGUGACGGUAGUGGGUCAAGAAGCACCGGCUAACUACGUG
rnacentral:rRNA from 1 species